GAUGAAGAACGUAGCGAAAUGCGAUACGUAAUGUGAAUUACAGAAUUCAGUGAAUCAUCGAAUCUUUGAACGCACAUUGCACUCCUUGGUAUUCCGAGGAGUAUGCCUGUUUCAGUAUCAUGAGUACUCUCACAUCUAACCUUUGGGUUAAAAUGUGGAAUUGGGAUGCGCCGGUUAUUAUAACGGCCCUCCUAAAAUUCAGUUCUUGGCUGCUUCCUACUACAGCAGUUUGGCCUAAUAGUUUUGAGUCUUCGAUUCAAAUCUUUGGCUAACAUUUGCUUCAGGAUGUCAGUCUUGAUAUACAGAAAUCUCAUUCAAACUUUGAUCUGAAAUCAGGUAGGUCUACCCGCUGAACUUAAGCAUAUCAAUAAGCGGAGGA
rnacentral:misc_RNA from 1 species